rnacentral:rRNA from 1 species
GGGUUGUGAGGUUAAGCGACUAAGCGUACACGGUGGAUGCCCUGGCAGUCAGAGGCGAUGAAGGACGUGCUAAUCUGCGAAAAGCGUCGGUAAGGUGAUAUGAACCGUUAUAGCCGGCGAUGUCCGAAUGGGGAAACCCAGUGUGAUUCGUCACACUAUCGUUAACUGAAUACAUAGGUUAACGAGGCGAACCGGGGGAACUGAAACAUCUAAGUACCCCGAGGAAAAGAAAUCAACCGAGAUUCCCCCAGUAGCGGCGAGCGAACGGGGAGCAGCCCAGAGUCUGAAUCAGCUUGUGUGUUAGUGGAACGGUCUGGAAAGUCCGACGGUACAGGGUGAUAGUCCCGUACACCAAAAUGCACAGGCUGUGAACUCGAAGAGUAGGGCGGGACACGUGGUAUCCUGUCUGAAUAUGGGGGGACCAUCCUCCAAGGCUAAAUACUCCUGACUGACCGAUAGUGAACCAGUACCGUGAGGGAAAGGCGAAAAGAACCCCGGCGAGGGGAGUGAAAAAGAACCUGAAACCGUGUACGUACAAGCAGUGGGAGCACCUUCGGGUGUGACUGCGUACCUUUUGUAUAAUGGGUCAGCGACUUAUAUUCUGUAGCAAGGUUAACCGUAUAGGGGAGCCGCAGGGAAACCGAGUCUUAACUGGGCGUUAAGUUGCAGGGUAUAGACCCGAAACCCGGUGAUCUAGCCAUGGGCAGGUUGAAGGUUGGGUAACACUAACUGGAGGACCGAACCGACUAAUGUUGAAAAAUUAGCGGAUGACUUGUGGCUGGGGGUGAAAGGCCAAUCAAACCGGGAGAUAGCUGGUUCUCCCCGAAAGCUAUUUAGGUAGCGCCUCGUGAAUUCAUCUUCGGGGGUAGAGCACUGUUUCGGCUAGGGGGUCAUCCCGACUUACCAACCCGAUGCAAACUACGAAUACCGAAGAAUGUUAUCACGGGAGACACACGGCGGGUGCUAACGUCCGUCGUGAAGAGGGAAACAACCCAGACCGCCAGCUAAGGUCCCAAAGUCAUGGUUAAGUGGGAAACGAUGUGGGAAGGCACAGACAGCCAGGAUGUUGGCUUAGAAGCAGCCAUCAUUUAAAGAAAGCGUAAUAGCUCACUGGUCGAGUCGGCCUGCGCGGAAGAUGUAACGGGGCUAAACCAUGCACCGAAGCUGCGGCAGCGACACUAUGUGUUGUUGGGUAGGGGAGCGUUCUGUAAGCCUGCGAAGGUGACCUGUGAGGGUUGCUGGAGGUAUCAGAAGUGCGAAUGCUGACAUAAGUAACGAUAAAGCGGGUGAAAAGCCCGCUCGCCGGAAGACCAAGGGUUCCUGUCCAACGUUAAUCGGGGCAGGGUGAGUCGACCCCUAAGGCGAGGCCGAAAGGCGUAGUCGAUGGGAAACAGGUUAAUAUUCCUGUACUUGGUGUUACUGCGAAGGGGGGACGGAGAAGGCUAUGUUAGCCGGGCGACGGUUGUCCCGGUUUAAGCAUGUAGGCUGGUUGUCCAGGCAAAUCCGGAUAAUCAAGGCUGAGGUGUGAUGACGAGGCACUACGGUGCUGAAGUAACAAAUGCCCUGCUUCCAGGAAAAGCCUCUAAGCAUCAGGUAACAUCAAAUCGUACCCCAAACCGACACAGGUGGUCAGGUAGAGAAUACCAAGGCGCUUGAGAGAACUCGGGUGAAGGAACUAGGCAAAAUGGUGCCGUAACUUCGGGAGAAGGCACGCUGGUGUGUAGGUGAAGUCCCUGCGGAUGGAGCUGAGACCAGUCGAAGAUACCAGCUGGCUGCAACUGUUUAUUAAAAACACAGCACUGUGCAAACACGAAAGUGGACGUAUACGGUGUGACGCCUGCCCGGUGCCGGAAGGUUAAUUGAUGGGGUUAUCCGUAAGGAGAAGCUCUUGAUCGAAGCCCCGGUAAACGGCGGCCGUAACUAUAACGGUCCUAAGGUAGCGAAAUUCCUUGUCGGGUAAGUUCCGACCUGCACGAAUGGCGUAAUGAUGGCCAGGCUGUCUCCACCCGAGACUCAGUGAAAUUGAACUCGCUGUGAAGAUGCAGUGUACCCGCGGCAAGACGGAAAGACCCCGUGAACCUUUACUAUAGCUUGACACUGAACAUUGAGCCUUGAUGUGUAGGAUAGGUGGGAGGCUUUGAAGCGUGGACGCCAGUCUGCGUGGAGCCAACCUUGAAAUACCACCCUUUAAUGUUUGAUGUUCUAACGUUGGCCCCUUACCGGGGUUGCGGACAGUGUCUGGUGGGUAGUUUGACUGGGGCGGUCUCCUCCCAAAGCGUAACGGAGGAGCACGAAGGUUAGCUAAUCCUGGUCGGACAUCAGGAGGUUAGUGCAAUGGCAUAAGCUAGCUUGACUGCGAGCGUGACGGCGCGAGCAGGUGCGAAAGCAGGUCAUAGUGAUCCGGUGGUUCUGAAUGGAAGGGCCAUCGCUCAACGGAUAAAAGGUACUCCGGGGAUAACAGGCUGAUACCGCCCAAGAGUUCAUAUCGACGGCGGUGUUUGGCACCUCGAUGUCGGCUCAUCACAUCCUGGGGCUGAAGUAGGUCCCAAGGGUAUGGCUGUUCGCCAUUUAAAGUGGUACGCGAGCUGGGUUUAGAACGUCGUGAGACAGUUCGGUCCCUAUCUGCCGUGGGCGCUGGAGAAUUGAGGGGGGCUGCUCCUAGUACGAGAGGACCGGAGUGGACGCAUCACUGGUGUUCGGGUUGUCAUGCCAAUGGCACUGCCCGGUAGCUAAAUGCGGAAGAGAUAAGUGCUGAAAGCAUCUAAGCACGAAACUUGCCCCGAGAUGAGUUCUCCCUGAGACUUUAAGUCUCCUGAAGGAACGUUAAAGACGAUGACGUUGAUAGGCCGGGUGUGUAAGCGCAGCGAUGCGUUGAGCUAACCGGUACUAAUGAACCGUGAGGCUUAACCUUACAACGCCGAAG